rnacentral:rRNA from 1 species
UACAGAGGGUGCAAGCGUUAUUCGGAAUUACUAGGUGUAAAGGGCGUGUAGGUGGUUAUGCAAGUCAUAUGUGAAAUCUUAGGGCUUAACCCUAGGCCUGCAUAUGAAACUACAUGACUUGAGUAUAGGAUGGGAAAACGGAAUUCCUGGUGUAGCGGUGAAAUGUGUAGAUACCAGGAGGAACACCGAUGGCGAAAGCGGUUUUCUGGCCUAAUACUGACACUGAGGCGCGAAAGCUAGGGGAU